CAUACGGAUCAUUUCCUGGUUAUGCCCACAGGUAUAUUCACACAUAAGAGUAAAUUACAUUUUUGGUCCCUAGGUAUAGUCGAUUCUUGUAGUUUUAGUCCCAAUGUGUUUUCUCUUGCAUUUUUGGUCCAUGUUCACUACUUUUGGUUUCUUAGUAUAACUGAUUUUUGCAAAUUUGAUCCGAAGUAUAUAUGUAGUAGAAAACAUAUUGCAACCAAAAUUGCAUAUAAAUUUGUGGUGAUUUUUGAAUUUUGUUGGGAAAAAUUGGGUAAAUUAUAAUUGGGUAAAUUAAACAAAGUACAAUAUCAUUUUAUUCAAACCUAUAUUUGAGUUGUUGUUUUGAUUGUUGUUUCAAGGGUGAGUCCAGGGCCUGAACCAACAAUUGGAUAGGCUCAACAUGUGGGAUCAUUGAAGAGGUUCUUUGUGAACCAUAGCGUCUAGUUAAAGCCAAGCUCUGUGUGAGCCAAGUUCAAAACCAGAAUCCGUGUGAUUAAAUUUGCAUCUGCAUGAUGAGUGAUUGAGUGAGAUCAUCUGUGAGAUUUUAAGGAGUUGGAAGAAGUUGAGUGCAGAAUCCGAGUUCCGGCUCACAGUGGUGUUGACAUUCCGGCUAUGUUGGUGUGAUCCCGAAGAUAGCAAGCGUGUGGAGAGGAAGAAAGUAAGCAGCAUGUCCAAUCACAUUUGGUGAUGAAAAGAAAUAAUGAAAGCAAGUAGGAAGACUGAUCAUGUUUGGUGAUCAGAAGAAAGAACAGCAGAAGCAAAGCAAGCAGCAAGAAAUAGCAAGCAAGAACCAACAGGGUGAGUGUAGGGCCUGAACCAACACGUAUCACUUUAUAUUCUCAAAACAGUGGAAGAGCUUGGAUUAGAAAAAAAAACCUCAUUCAAGGUAAGUUUGAUCUUAUUUUAUGAUUCAAUGUACUAAAUUAUUCUUGACUUGUUUUAAGUAUUUCCUUCUUGAGGAGUUUUUGGCCUCUUUAUGAAGCAUAACAUACCUUAAAUGGCUACCAUAGUUUUUUUUUCUAUAUAAAGAUGAACAGAUCAUCAUUUAUGUUUAUGAUUUCAACUGCUAAUUUAUGUAGUCAGAUCACAUGCCUAUAUUGUUGAGGUUAAUUGUUCUUUCCUACAGACUACUUAGAAAAAAUAGAGCCACUUUUUAGUGGGAUCUCUGUACUGAAAUAGUUCACACCACGUGCAAAGGACUACCUACUCUUAUGCGUGGAGUGCAUCUCCACCAAGUUAUAGUUGUUGAAGACCAAGUUAAUGCUAUUGAAACUAUGAGGCAAGAUGAUACUAGAUAUAAGUCUUAUAAAAAAAGGAUGCAAGUGGGAUCAAAACCAGUUCCUAAUACAACAUAGCAAAGACCCAAAGCCAAUUUAAGGACAAGUUUUCCUUCUAUCCAGCCACAACCUGAAGGGUAACUUUUUUUUUUUAUAUUUUUUUGAAAACACUAAAAGCAUUGUUUACAUUAUGUUUAUUCUCAAUUUCUGUACUCAUUCCUAUUUUACUUAUCUCUUAAGAACCUACAAUUUACAAUAUAGUAAAUCUAUUAUAUCACCAAAACCAUUUUAAAAGCAUGACCUGUGGUUGUGGGACAUUGAGUUAUAUAUUCAACAGGAUGUUCAUAUGUUAGCAGCAUUAAAACAGUGAGUACUCAUUGAAGGAAUUUUCUGGUCAAUUCCCUUAUUUAUAUGUUAAAAGACCAUUAUACCCCCUGUUAUAUUUUAAAAUCAUAAGUGAAAGAUUUAUUUAUGUGAUUGUAGUGGGACAUUGAGUUAUAUAUUCAACAAUUUUGUUGAUGCAAGAGCAUUUAGUGAAGUAGUGAUGGAGGCAAAAGCAGCAGGUUACACUGAGCCAGACCCCAGGGAUGAUCCUGCUGGGACAGAUGUAGCCAAAAAGUUUUAUUUUUUAGUUUUUUUUUAUUUUCUAUACAAAUAUAUAAAUAAAAAUCUGGUAUUUUAAGUUUUAAAUUAUAAAUUAUAAUGGUGAAUCAAUAUUGCAGGUGAUAAUUCUUGCUAGAGAACGUGGUUUAAAUCUUGAACUUUCAGAUAUCCCUGUUCAAAGCCUUGUGUCAGAUCCAUUAAAGGUUGUUAUGCAAGCUGGUGAUGCUGAGCUUGAAAUGCGAGGAAGGUGCAGUGCAGGUCAAAAGGUGCUUGCUUCACUUAUCAUUAGAAUAGCUCUGGAGUUAGAAGAGGAAAAGAAACCUCAAGCUAAAAGAGAUAAGAUGCUGCAAAUGCAAGUGUUGCAUUCUUCAUUUCAAUUGUUACUAUGAAACACAUAGUAGAUUAGAUGAAUACAAAUUUAUAUAUUGUAAUGAAAUAGAAUUGUAUGACACUAAAUUCUAUGCAAUGGAUUGUAUUUUUUGUA